UACGUAGGAGGCGAGCGUUGUCCGGAAUGACUGGGCGUAAAGGGCGCGUAGGCGGCUGUGACAGUCAGAUGUGAAAUUCCUGGGCUCAACCUGGGGGCUGCAUUUGAUACGUGAUGGCUGGAGUGGGGAAGAGGGUCGUGGAAUUCCCAGUGUAGAGGUGAAAUUCGUAGAUAUUGGGAAGAACACCGGUGGCGAAGGCAGCUCGCUGGGACGUGACUGACGCUGAGACGCGAAAGCGUGGGGAGCAAACAGG
rnacentral:rRNA from 1 species